rnacentral:rRNA from 1 species
CAGCCGCCACGGUAAUACGAAGGGGGCUAGCGUUGUUCGGAAUCACUGGGCGUAAAGCGCACGUAGGCGGACUUUUAAGUCAGGGGUGAAAUCCCAAGGCUCAACCUUGGAACUGCCUUUGAUACUGGAAGUCUUGAGUUCGGGAGAGGUGAGUGGAACUGCGAGUGUAGAGGUGAAAUUCGUAGAUAUUCGCAAGAACACCAGUGGCGAAGGCGGCUCACUGGCCCGAUACUGACGCUGAGGUGCGAAAGCGUGGGGAGCAAACAGGAUUAGAUACCCCAGUAGUCCCUGUCUCUAUACA